GAUAAAAAGCGGAAGAACACGGCCGCAGAGCCUGAUGGGUCUACCUGGCUACCAAGCAGAGCGGGUCAGCACGGCGGCUUUGAUUACUGGAGACACUACACAUUUCAUGAUCCUCCAAAUGCUGUGAGAGGCAGGAGAAGAAAAGUACAAGGUCUUCAGUCUUGGAGAAAAGUUCCUGACACACACUUCCAAGAUCAUCCCCAUAUAGCUGUUCGAGACCUCAAUUUAUUGAACCUAAUGGAGAUCAGCAACAGAAUGGUGAGACUGAUGAUGACUAUGAUGUGCAGCUUCACUGAGGUCAUGGGCUUGGUUAAUUCCCUUCCAAAGGGACGGGAGGAGAGAAGGAGAGCA